CAAACAACCUCUCACACUCACAUUCAUACUUUCACACAAUUUACAGCUGCCACUCAACCUAACAUGCAUAUUUUUGGAAUGUGGGGAAUGUACUCGGAGAAAACCCUCUCACGCACGAGGAGAACAUGCAAACUUCACAUAGUGAUGUCGAACGGCGAUUGAAACCAAGAUCUUCCAGAUCACCUGACUACCGUGUGCGUGUGGCAAAAUUGGUUAUUCAUUUAAAUAAAUGAAUAAUUUCUUAAUUCAUGUAAGUUAUUUAUUUAUUUAUUUUAAACCCUGAAGUAUAUUAGUAUAGUAGUACAGAGCUGCUGUAACUGGCAGCCACUCAAGCGGCGCCAUUUUGAAAAAAAAAAAAAAAUAUUGAGGUAAUACACAACAACAGAAAAAUAGGACAAAAUUAUAUAAGUGAAAAUGGUAUUUUAAACAAUAAAAACCAAAAUAAGUAAAAUAAUGAAACCAUUCAAAUAAAUGAUACAUUAUUAAGAACUACUUUAAGAAUGAAAAUUGUAUUCACAAUUCACACAUGGCUCUGAUCAGUCACCGCUUCAACAGACAAACAUUACCUCAAAUGACUGUAUCCAAAGUAUUGAUAUUUUGAUUUGAGAAUUGAUUUCAGAGCAUGAGGAGCUGGUAUCCGAAGUAUUGAUAUUUCAGUAUCGAUCUGCACAUCACGAGUUCACAAUCCUGUCCCGGCAGUGUGGUAUACCCUUUCACACAGGCGCUAUCUUGUCGUCUUCUACUACCUCUAGAGGCAGAAAAUUGUCCGGUCGACUUCAUCACACCGACAUGGAAAAAAGGUGGCAAAUCGUCAAUCCCACAUUCUGUGUGAGGGCCUUUUAUAUAGACCAGCAACACAGCAAAAAGUAAAAAAGAAAAAAAAAAGCUGACUUUUACAGGCAGUAUGAAAGGGUCUGAUAUUUGUAUUAACAAUUUGUUUUCAGUGUCAUUUACACAAGACUGGUUUAACUAAGACCCUUAAGAACUGUGUCAUUUCACUUGUUCGCUUUUGCAACAUUGGAGGCACAUUGCUUGUGUUAUUGUUCACAUCUAAACACGGAAAAAAGAUCUUCUACGAAAAAUUCAGAUGCCCGUUGUCAAGUGCUUUUUGUUUUUGAAUGUAUGGCUCUCAAAAUCACACUUCUCCAGUAAAGUGUACAUUUCCUGUGACCAGCAGAGACACAUUACUUCCAUAACUCAAAUAUGUUUUGGGGUAGGUUCUUUCUGCUGCUCUGCGUGACCAAACUUGGCAACAUCUGCAGGUGAAACUUUGAGGGAAAAAAAGCAUUAUAUUCUGAACAUUGUUUGCCUUUUCCAUCUUUUUCUUUAUGACAGUGACAACUCACUGCGGGUAUACAGUAGAACACCCCCAACCCAUGCCACCCUUCUUUUUCUAUCAGCACGGUACAACCCUCUAGGUAAGACAAUAAAGCCAAGACCACCAAGGAUGGAUUUUGCCAACAGCUUCACAGGAUGCCUGCGGUGCCUUUGGACACAAGCGAACAAAGACACAAAAGGAACCCAGUGAGAAAGCACUGCUCUGCUGGAAGUCUGCAAUCGCUAUCAGCUUCCUUUGGAAUGACAACAUAGAGAAGACGAAUUUGAGGGAUGCUGGGACGGUGAAGAAUAAGAAAAAGGGCUUGGGGAUGUGGACUUCUGUACAGUACUUCACUGCCUUGGCACUACUGCCCUCAUAUGGACAUCGAAGUUGGUCAGUUUUAGGUUCAGCAUCAUUAUGUCCCCAAAGAAUGAGGUCUGCUGACUACCUCAAUAUCCUAAAUGACCAGGUGAGUCCAUCAAUGCAUUCUUUCCUCCAUGAUGGCACACAGGUAUAUCCCAAGAUGGCAAUGCCAGGAGUCAUCCGGCUCAAAUUGUGAAAGCGUGGUUCACAAUUUUACUGUGUGAUCUUUUUUUUUGGCAAGGCAAUGUGCUUUAAAUAGAAUUAUUUAUCAAUUAUCAAGAAGCGUGAAGCUUUUCAGCAUAUUCUAGAAAUCAUCUCCCAAACAGGGCUGCAUGGUGGUCUAACGGUUAGCAUGUUGGGCAACACAGUAACAGUCUGGAGUUUGGGUUCGAUUCUCCCUUGGGUAUUUCUGUGUGGAGUUUGCAUGUUCUCCCUGUAUGUGCAUGGGUUUUCUCUGGGUACUCCGGUUUCCUCCCACAUCCAAAAACAUGCAUGUUAGGUUAAUUGGCGACCCAUAGGUAUGACUGUGAGUGUGAAUGCUUGUUUGUCUAUAUGUGCCCUGCGAUUGGCUGGUUACCAGUCCAGGGUUUACCCCGCCUGUCGCCUGAAGUCAGCUGCAAUAGGCUCCAGCGUGCCCCCAUGACCCUAAUGAGGAGAAGCGGUAUCGAAAAUGGAUGGAUGGAUCUCCCAAACAUACUACCAGUGUCUGGAAAAUGCAUUCAUCAAGCAGUGGUGCAGGAAGAAGCAUUCAGGUGUGGCUGUGAGCUUCGCUUAAGUGAAGAAUGCUGAGAUGGCUGUGAGAUACAAAGAAUAAGAUUCAUCACGACAACCGUCGUAUACAGCUGUUACUGCGCAUGCCCCUCCCCCACCGAAUCCGGAAGAAGUCAGAAGAGCCCUUUGGUUCACACUGAUAUCUUCAUCUAAUACACUGGAA